UUCCUUCAUUUACCCCACCUCGUUACCUACGUGGCUGACCCAAAUUCAAAGCAUUUUGUGUGUGUAUAUAUAUAUUUUUUCUUUUCUGCUAUGUCUUUUUUUUUGGGGGGGGGGGGUGGAGAAAUCCUCUCUAGAGCCGUAAGCGGAUCGGCCACACGGAGGAAACAUUUGGGGGCUCAGGAAGAAAUUAGCGCAGCUCCAUACCUGUACGGACUACAUAACUCUUAAACUACUGGACUCAAAGGAUCCACAUACACACAGGUAACAGGAAAUACAGCCAGACCAAAGCCUUUUCAGACCCGAGCAGACCGGAAGACGUUGCCUUUCAUUCAUUCAUUCUGCCCGCGUCUGUGGAGUCCUUUACUAGGCGAGAAGCCCUAGAAGAGAAGUUGGACAUUUUUUAAAGGUCCCUGCGCUCUCCAAGAAGAGGAAAUAGAUGCUCAGGAGUGAACUACCGAGAGAAUCGGAUCUGGCGCCUCCUAACGCAGCUGGCAAAAAUGCGAAGGAUGUGGGAUCUUAGUUCACAAAUCAGGAAUUGAACCCCACAGCCCCUGCAGUGGAAGGCAAAAUCUUCAACACUGGACCACCAGAGAAGGCUCUCAGAUUUGUUUUAAAAAACUUUUUGCUAGUUGCUGUUACAGAAUGGCUUUAAAAGCAGAGACAUCAGGGAGCAGUUUACUGCAGACCUCUCGGCAGGCAAUGGUAGCCUGGCUAAGAUGGAAGAGGCGAUGCUGGCCACAAGAGCUGAGAUUUUAAGAAAAUGUGGGUUUCCUAAUGGAUUAGAUGUAGUAGGAAAAGGGCACAGUGAGGGGAAGCAAGGACCCAGGGGUGACUCCUAGGGUGAGCAGCACCCCAAUUUCCCCUUCUCUAGGGUCUCUGGAGAGAACCACAGAACCGCAUUGCACUUGACAGUCUGUUCCUGGGAUGCUGGGCAUUUUUAUGUGAUUAGGCUGGAAUAGUUCUCUGGGAAAUAAAUGCCCUCAGUCUAAAAGGCUUUUACAAGCCAAGGCAGGGGAUUAAAGGCGGCCAGGCUGAGGAGAAAUUCCAAGGUCAGGAGACAGCUGGGCAUGGAGACUUUUAAUCUAAACCUUAAACGUUUUUAUUUUUCACUCCCUGAACCCAGGGUGUCACUUUAAAUACGUGUUUGGCAACAUCGGCUGUUCUAUUUUUCUUUUUAAUUAUACAAAAAGAGAUCCUGGAAACAGCUCAGCCCCCAGGCUGGGGGAGGCGAGGAAAGUCUGGCAACAGUUGGAGGAGGCAGACACCAGCUAAAAAUUGAGUGGAUCGAAGUCCCUUUGAAGGCGAAUGGAGACUCUACCCUGAACUCAGUGGGGGGAGCCCUGACUCAGGGUUUCUAAAAGGAGACUGACAGUCACCAGCUUAGCAUGGAGAGAUGACAGAUGGACAAAUCUGCAAGAUAAAAAUAU